rnacentral:rRNA from 1 species
AUUGAACGCUGGCGGAAUGCUUUACACAUGCAAGUCGAACGGCAGCACGGGGGCAACCCUGGUGGCGAGUGGCGAACGGGUGAGUAAUACAUCGGAACGUGCCCAGUCGUGGGGGAUAACGUAGCGAAAGCUACGCUAAUACCGCAUACGAUCUCUGGAUGAAAGCGGGGGACCGCAAGGCCUCGCGCGAUUGGAGCGGCCGAUGGCAGAUUAGGUAGUUGGUGGGGGAAAGGCUCACCAAGCCGACGAUCUGUAGCUGGUCUGAGAGGACGACCAGCCACACUGGGACUGAGACACGGCCCAGACUCCUACGGGAGGCAGCAGUGGGGAAUUUUGGACAAUGGGCGAAAGCCUGAUCCAGCCAUUCCGCGUGCAGGAUGAAGGCCCUCGGGUUGUAAACUGCUUUUGUACGGAACGAAAAGGCUCUUUCUAAUACAGAGGGCUCAUGACGGUACCGUAAGAAUAAGCACCGGCUAACUACGUGCCAGCCGCCGCAGUAAUAC